UACGUAGGUGGCAAGCGUUGUCCGGAAUCAUUGGGCGUAAAGAGCGCGUAGGUGGCUUGUCAGGUCUGGUGUGAAAUUUCGGGGCUCAACCCCGAACCUGCAUCGGAAACCGGCUUGCUAGAGUCUGGGAGAGGAGAGUGGAAUUCCUGGUGUAGCGGUGAAAUGCGUAGAUAUCAGGAGGAACACCGGUAGCGAAGGCGGCUCUCUGGAACAGUACUGACGCUGAGGCGCGAAAGCUAGGGGAGCGAACAGG
rnacentral:rRNA from 1 species